rnacentral:lncRNA from 1 species
GUCUACUUGCAUUUCCUUAUAUCCUUCUUACAUCAAUAAAUGGUUAAUAGUUGAAAAUAAUAUUGCUGUUGUUGUCAAAUUUCUUGGGGAAAGAAAAUUGUUCUUGCUUGUAAUAUUGCUGACAUUCUAACUAAUGUUUGAUUCACUACAUGAAUAUUUACGCCAAAGCUUAUAUGGUCCACAAGUUAUCUUUAAUAAAACAGAAUAUGAUGUAAGGAGUUGAAGAGGUAUCGAAAUGGAUGCUCAACCCUUGAUCAGUACAUGUAGUGGUUGUUUUGAUGGUUGUUUACUAUUUGCUAGAUUUGACAUAUUCUUGUUUUGGCCGGCUUCUUCCGGG